rnacentral:rRNA from 1 species
UGAUGCAGCACGCCGCGUGCGGGAUGACGGCCUUCGGGUUGUAAACCGCUUUCGCCUGUGACGAAGCGUGAGUGACGGUAAUGGGUAAAGAAGCACCGGCUAACUACGUGCCAGCAGCCGCGGUGAUACGUAGGGUGCGAGCGUUGUCCGGAUUUAUUGGGCGUAAAGGGCUCGUAGGUGGUUGAUCGCGUCGGAAGUGUAAUCUUGGGGCUUAACCCUGAGCGUGCUUUCGAUACGGGUUGACUUGAGGAAGGUAGGGGAGAAUGGAAUUCCUGGUGGAGCGGUGGAAUGCGCAGAUAUCAGGAGGAACACCAGUGGCGAAGGCGGUUCUCUGGGCCUUUCCUGACGCUGAGGAGCGAAAGCGUGGGGAGCGAACA